CAGAAAAUCAUUACGUUUUUUCCUACCUCAAGUGUGUUUUCAUAUCAAAGAUUGAUUGAGCAUUUUAUUGCUAUGAUUAAUACUACAAUAGACACCUUUAUUUCUUUCCUUCAAUCGACUGUUUUGUCUGCCCCACAAAUGUACGCAAUUCUUGAUAAUUAUCAACUUUUUCCUUUGUUAUUAUCGCCAUUUGUACGUUUAAUUAAUGCGAAAUCAUACAUCGAUCAUUUUGAGUUCAUUGCGGUGUUUGUCGGUAGUGUGUCUGUUUUUAAAUUCGUUCAGACUAAGAUCAUAAAUUUACUUUUUUUAUGCUAAUGACACAAAAUGUCAAUCAUUUCGCUUUAAAACUGUACGAUGAAGAAAUAAGCAACAUUGUUCGGCUUCAGUGUGUUUGCGUCAUUAAUAAUCCAUUCGUGGAGAUCACAAUUCACUGGUGGAUGCUUUUGAUUUCAAGAAGGUUGAAAGAUACUCUGAAAAAGAGCAUUCGAUUUUCAAUGCGAAAUCUUCUUAACAACUUCAAUAGAAUCGAUUCACUUGACAUUUGACGAAUCAUAUCCAUUUCAUGUUAGAGAAGGCAUGAGAAACAUGCCAUUGGGGACAGUCGAACGUCUGGCGCCAAACUUUACGCAGCACUAUCGACGACGAUGACGACAACGACAACGAUACACCGCAAAUAAAAUCAUUCGGUUAAAUUAACAACAUUAAAAGUGGCCA